UAAACUUUUUUUUUACUUUUUUUUACACAAUACAGAGAAGAGUAGCAUGGCCCCUGCGCAAGGAUGACACGCAAAUACUUCUUUUU
rnacentral:snRNA from 1 species